rnacentral:rRNA from 1 species
CCUGACCUCGAUUCGAGCGUGAA